GAAAUCCUUGCGGAUAAACACAGAGAACACGUGGUUGGAGCGCGGAGACGUGCACGAAUUAAAUCCGAGAGUAGUAAUGAAAGAAAAAUUCGACUAAAUGUUGGGUGUCACAGUGAGAGCUGUUUGAGCCUUAAAUCAUCACAGACAAACAGAGGGUUAAGAGCAUGAGCGCGGCCCUCCUCGGUUGAACUUGAAGAUGACCGCCCCUUCAAAAGAUGGCCUGACCCUUCCAAAAUCAAGCCUGAUUACCCAUCUCUAGGACACUAAGAAGUGCCCAACUUCAAAAGGAGCAGAGACAAUCAUGGGUGGGGUGCUGUGGCAUGGGAGGGGGGAGCCCUGUGCUGUGGCGGUUUGGGCCAGACUGAACGGUCUCAGCCAGGGGGCUGGGGCUAUUAAAAGAUAAAUGUAUUUCUCUGAUGCAUUAUUCAUGAUGUGAGGAGGUGGGGAGGGAGCAGGGAGCCAGAGGCUUAGCGCAGCAGUGGCUCCCUUCUCGGCCUCAUCGGGGCCAAGGCCCCCACUGCACCCACACCCUGAUGCAAGUGAGGGCGAGUGGGGUGGGGGUUAUUCGGGCGACAGCUGUGAGGACAGAGAGGGAGAUAGAGAGAUAAUGCAACAGUAUGUAUUCCCACACACAUAUAUUAAAUGUCAUUACUGCACGUGAAUGGACCUCAAAGUGCAAUAAGAGCAGAUCAAAUAUUUUUCCCUCCACAUAAUUGCGUUGGUUAAGAACUCAAACCUGAUUAUUUCAUUUUUGUAAGAUAGUUUCUGCCGUGAGCUUUCAGUAGAAUUGCUCCUAAGUGGGUUUUUUCUCUUUCUUACAUUAAUCUUACGAACACGCACACACACAUCAGAGAAGUGGAGGAUGGAGCAUCAGACUGGGGUGCUGAAUAACCUCUCAUCAGCUGAUUAAGUAAAGGGUUUGGGCAAAUAUUUUGGAGACAUAUUGGACUUCUAUACUAGAAUGAAUGGCAAAGUGAGCCUUUGUCCAACUCAUCUCUGAUCUGCUAGAAAAGCAGAUUAGGAUGACCCCGGUGUCACUCAUUUGGAUGAGAUGCUGUCGAGAAAAACCAAACAAACUGGAGAGAAUGUCAAACAGCAGAAACGGCUAAGCCUCCUUUGUGUGGCGCUUUUUUUCUUUUUUAUUACAUGCAAAUGUUCAUGUUUGUUCCUUUCGUAACAUUAGACAAACAUGCUAAAACUGUUUUCUCCUUGUUUUCCAUGGGAAUCAUUUACCAAAUGUAUUUUUAAGAGAUUAAGGAAUAAAAACAGUCGCUAUGUCGUGUUCGGCACAAACAUUUAUCUCACAUGUCUCGUGAUGGGAGAAACUACCUGUUCAUGUUUUAAUCAAAUGCUUUCCAAAUCGUUUCAUAAUUGCCUAUAAUUGAACACACACUGUGCAAUUUUGCUGUUUCGUGCCAAUAUCUGUGUUCUGCAAUAAAAUCACACUGACAUGUUUGUAUCAACAGUGCUAUCUCUGCUGUUCAUUUCAGACAUACGUCCACACGUGUUUUGGAAUAAGAGAAUAUUUCUUUGAAUUGUAUUUAAAAUUUCUUUGGAAAUGUGACUAUAACUGAGAAUUCCCUGAUUUAAUUUUAUUUGUCACUAACUGCACAUCCACUCAGCUG